UUUUAUUAUUUGCAUAUCUACAUAUACAUUUUUGCAGCCUUUUUGUGAAAUAAAUCUUGGAGUUGAGACUUAUUUACAAUGGCUGCCACUAACUUUUAAUUAUUGGUUUUUUUGGGUAAUAAAUUAAUUAACAAACGAAAAAUAUUCCAAAUAUAUUCUAAUCUCAUAUGUCACGCAGAUAUCUCCAAAAUUUGAAUUAGAUUUCAGCAACUAUUUAAAACAAAAAAUGUUUGACAAACCAAAAUACAAUUGAAAUCCCUUAAAAUGAGCAAAACACACCUAAAUACAUUCUUUAUCUAUACAAUAAAUCUUAUUUCUCCAAAAUUUGAGCUAGAUUUUGGCAACUAUUUAAAACAAAUAUUUGUUUGACAAACCAAAAUACAAUUGCAAUCCCGUAAAAUAUUUAUUUUAAUUAUAUAUUUAAAUUAGCGGUGUACCGCGGGUUUUUUUACGGGAUAGAUUUGGCGGGACGGUUUGACAAGACGUUACUUAAUAACAAUUGUAAACUAUAAAAUAAAAAUAUUAUAUAAAUAGA
rnacentral:sRNA from 1 species